rnacentral:rRNA from 1 species
GUACGGGAGGCAGCAGUGGGGAAUAUUGGGCAAUGGACGCAAGUCUGACCCAGCCAUGCCGCGUGAAGGAUGACGGCCCUAUGGGUUGUAAACUUCUUUUGUACGGGAAAAAACCUUCGAACGUGUUCGUAGCUGAUGGUACCGUAAGAAUAAGCAUCGGCUAACUCCGUGCCAGCAGCCGCGGUAAUACGGAGGAUGCAAGCGUUAUCCGGAUUCAUUGGGUUUAAAGGGUGCGUAGGCGGGAUGAUAAGUCAGUGGUGAAAUCCUACAGCUUAACUGUAGAACUGCCAUUGAUACUGUCAACCUUGAGUACAAUUGAAGUGGGCGGAAUGUGUCAUGUAGCGGUGAAAUGCUUAGAUAUGACACAGAACACCGAUAGCGAAGGCAGCUCACUAAACUGUAACUGACGCUGAGGCACGAAAGCGUGGGGAUCAAACAGGAUUAGAUACCCUAGUA